UACGUAGGGUGCAAGCGUUGUCCGGAAUUAUUGGGCGUAAAGAGCUCGUAGGCGGCUUUACAGGUCCGUUGUGAAAACUCGAGGCUCAACCUCGAGACGCCGGUGGAAACCGUAAGGCUAGAGUCCGGAAGAAGAGAGUGGAAUUCCUGGUGUAGCGGUGAAAUGCGCAGAUAUCAGGAGGAACACCGAUGGCGAAGGCAGGUCUCUGGGCCACUACUGACGCUGAGAAGCGAAAGCAUGGGGAGCGAACAGG
rnacentral:rRNA from 1 species